rnacentral:rRNA from 1 species
UGGGGAAUUUUGGACAAUGGGGGCAACCCUGAUCCAGCCAUGCCGCGUGCGGGAAGAAGGCCUUCGGGUUGUAAACCGCUUUUAGCCGGGAAGAAAAGGCGGAGGUGAAUACCCUCCGUUCUUGACGGUACCGGCGGAAUAAGCACCGGCUAACUACGUGUCAGCAGCCGCGGUAAUACGUAGGGUGCGAGCGUUAAUCGGAAUUACUGGGCGUAAAGCGCACGUAGGCGGCCUUUCAAGUCAGAUGUGAAAGCCCCGGGCUUAACUCGGGAACUGCAUUUGAUACUGUUGGGCUAGAGACCGGGAGAGGAUAGCGGAAUUCCCAGUGUAGAGGUGAAAUUCGUAGAUAUUGGGAAGAACACCAGUGGCGAAGGCGGCUAUCUGGACCGGUACUGACGCUGAGGUGCGAAAGCGUGGGGAGCAAA